AUGAUACAAGGUCUUUGCGUGCACAUAAACAGUAUCAGGGGAGGGCAGAGCUUAGAGGAAGGAACACAAGGCAACAGUUUUACAUUAUGGACCCGCUGCCACCCAACUUGCUAUGCAGAGCGAUGUGCUUUCCUGCAAAGGGCUGCGGCAGACGGGUGAUGUUGGCUGGAAAAAGGGGCUCACUUUGAAGUGAUUCAGGCCCUGGGUUGUCCAGAUUCAGCAUCAUUGUGCUCUCUCAGGGAAAUGUAAUCUAAUUUUAGGAAGAGGAGGAAACAAAGUAAACGUGACUGAACUGCGCUGCACCUCCGCACCGUCCGAGACCGCGUCCCCGGGAAUAUCCCUGGGCAACUUUCUUCAUUUUCCUUCUUUUUUAGACACCAAUUUUGGUGCAUACUAGCCAAGAGAGGAAAAAAAGGGUGGUAGUUCUGCCUGUGAAAUGAUAUGCUUUGGUGGAUGGCCCAAACUAACUACUGCUUGCAAACCCCAGAUUAAAAAAAGAAGACUGAUGUAAUUUUAAAGCCAGCCAACUGCCUUAGUGACUGUAUCAGAAGAUUAAAAACAAAGGUUUCAUUGAAGCACUACCUCCCACUGUGCAGCUGA
rnacentral:lncRNA from 1 species